rnacentral:tRNA from 1 species
ACGGCCUGGGCCGGGUCGCGGUAGGCCGGCUGUUCCUCCCAGCGGCCGUAGGAGUUCGGGUUGAUGCCCGGGGUCCCGCCCUGGUUGCCGUC